rnacentral:lncRNA from 1 species
ACACCCUAUCUAAUUUUGAAGAAAAAUGCGUAAAUUUUCUUUUUCUACCCGCUUCGUUUAUUUCAUUUAGAAAAAAAUUUAGCUGAAAAUAUGAAUCAACUAGGAUUCGAAUUUGGGUCUCGGAUACCAACCAUCAAGCCCUUUGCCACUUGCUCUAGGAACGGUCGGUAAAAAAAAAAAUGUGUAAAUUUUCGUGUGUGUGUGUGUGUGUAUUUUGAGAAUAUAUUACUCCACAUCAUGUGGUCUCAAAAAUCAACCAUUUAAAAAUAAUAUUAUACAAUUUUAUAGCAGAAA